rnacentral:rRNA from 1 species
UGGGGAAUUUUGCACAAUGGGGGAAACCCUGAUGCAGCGACGCCGCGUGAUUUAGAAGGCCUUCGGGUUGUAAAAAUCUUUUCUAUGGGAAGAAAAUGACAGUACCAUAGGAAUAAGGACCGGCUAAUUACGUGCCAGCAGCCGCGGUAAUACGUAAGGUCCGAGCGUUGUCCGGAAUCAUUGGGCGUAAAGGGUACGUAGGCGGGUAAGCAAGUUAGAAGUGAAAUCCUGUAGCUCAACUACAGUAAGCUUUUAAAACUGCUCAUCUUGAGAUAUGGAAGGGAAAGUGGAAUUCCUAGUGUAGCGGUGAAAUGCGCAGAUAUUAGGAGGAAUACCGGUGGCGAAGGCGACUUUCUGGCCAUGAUCUGACGCUGAGGUACGAAAGCGUGGGUAGCAAACAGG